rnacentral:rRNA from 1 species
GCAGUCGAACGCGUGUAGCAAUACACGAGUGGCGGACGGGUGAGUAACACGUGGGAAUCUACCCAGCAGUACGGAAUAACCGCGGGAAACUGCGGCUAAUACCGUAUACGCCCUUCGGGGGAAAGAUUCAUCGCUGUUGGAUGAGCCCGCGUCCGAUUAGCUAGUUGGCGGGGUAAAAGCCCACCAAGGCGACGAUCGGUAGCUGGUCUGAGAGGAUGAUCAGCCACACUGGGACUGAGACACGGCCCAGACUCCUACGGGAGGCAGCAGUGGGGGAUAUUGGACAAUGGGGGAAACCCUGAUCCAGCCAUGCCGCGUGGGUGAAGAAGGCCCUAGGGUUGUAAAGCCCUUUCGGCGGGGACGAUGAUGACGGUACCCGCAGAAGAAGCACCGGCUAACUUCGUGCCAGCAGCCGCGGUAAUACGAAGGGUGCUAGCGUUGUUCGGAAUCACUGGGCGUAAAGCGCACGUAGGCGGUCCGCACCAGUCAGGCGUGAAAGCCCCAGGCUCAACCUGGGAAUUGCGCUUGAUACUAGCGGGCUAGAGUCCGGGAGAGGGUAGUGGAAUUCCCAGUGUAGAGGUGAAAUUCGUAGAUAUUGGGAAGAACACCGGUGGCGAAGGCGGCUACCUGGACCGGUACUGACGCUGAGGUGCGAAAGCGUGGGGGAGCAAACAGGA